rnacentral:rRNA from 1 species
GGAGGAUGCGAGCGUUAUCCGGAUUUAUUGGGUUUAAAGGGUGCGUAGGCGGAUCGUCAAGUCAGCGGUCAAAAGUCGGGGCUCAACCCCGUGAAGCCGUUGAAACUGGUGGUCUUGAGUGAGCGAGAAGCAGGCGGAAUGCGUGGUGUAGCGGUGAAAUGCAUAGAUAUCACGCAGAACCCCGAUUGCGAAGGCAGCCUGCCGGCGCUCAACUGACGCUGAGGCACGAAAGUGCGGGGAUCGAACAGGAUUAGAUACCCUGGUAGUCCGCACAGUAAACGAUGAAUGCUAGCUGUCCGGUGCGAAUGAGCGCUGGGUGGCACAGCGAAAGCGUUAAGCAUUCC